CUUUCUUAAUGUUGUGUACCUGAAGCGCCUUCCCGUUUUUCUGAAGUCUCAGAGUUAAGAUUAAAGCGUACUAGAUGUACCAGCAUUUGAUGAUAACAAUUUGAGUAUUAUUUUGUUAAGCAUUCGGUGGAUUUUUUUUUCAUAUGCUUAUGUUAGCGUUGUGCGUUUCUUUUUCUUAGAAAUCGCCAACUCGGAGACGUGAAUCAUAUCGUUUUUACACAAAGCAUAUUACUAUUAUUGGCGCUUUAGCAUUUAUGCUGGAGACUUUUUUUCAUAACGUGAAAUACAUUUCCAUAACAACCGACGCUGAGAAACAAAAGCACUGAUUUUGAACGAGACAAUGACCUAACCAAUUAGACUUUUUGGAAAUUAAAUUAAGUAUUUAUUUUACUUCUUUAAAAAAAAGUGUUAUUGUUAAAAGAGAGCUCAGUAAAUAGUUUUUGGCACCGUUACAACUGAGUUCUGAUUUCCUUCAAAUUGUUUCUUGGCACCGUUACAACUGAGUUCUGAUUUCCUUCAAAUUGUUUCUUGGCACCGUUACAACUGAGUUCUGAUUUCCUUCAAAUUGUUUCUUGGCACCAUUACAGAUGAGUUCUGAUUUCCUUCAAAUUGUUUCUUUUGCUGAAAUGUGUGAGUCAUUUCCAGGAAGAGUAACAAAGUCAAACUUAAGAAUGCUACGCUGAAUUAAUUAAUGUGCCUAAUCUAGGUAACAUUGGAGUUUGAACAUUUAAUUGACUCUUAGCUGACCUAGUUUUCUGAAGCCUCUUGUCAGACUUUUGUAACAUUGGACAUUAUUAUUAGAUGUGUUGUUGUUGUUUUUUUUUAUAUUGUGGUUGUGUUUUCAAGUUUAGCUUAUAAAAAAUGAAUACCACAGAAUUCGCAGAGGUCACUGUAUCAGUCGGUGUUAAUUCACCUUUGCCACUAGAGUUAAAAGUUGUCAUUGCUGUAUUGGCUGGAUUAUCGUUGGUUUUACUUUGCCUGCUGUACUAUUGUAUUAGAUCUUCCCAAAGCAAAAACCAGAAAUCAGUAAAUAUGCCAGACAGAGAGAGAACAAACAUGUUCAUCUGUAAUUUUCCCGUCGGAUUUUGGUACGAUGAAUCCAAAUCAAUCGAUAAUUCCAAGACUUUUGGAAAGAACUUCGACUCCAAGGAAAUACGUCCGCUAGGAGGAAAAUCAAUUUACAAAGGAAAUAAAAUCCAUCACUCUUUGAUUUAAACAUAGGGAACAGAGAUCUUAUUAUAAUAUUAUGAAAAAAAACAGAUCUAUUUUGAAAAACUUGACUACAUGUAUUUAUUUUUAUAAAGCAUAAUAUAAUUUCAUUGACAUGUUAUGUCAUUUUCAGUCAUCUGUCUGUAGUCGUUAAAUUUCGUGUACUAGCAAUGGAUAGAUCAGUAAUACACUUACUGUAUUAUUUUAUCAUGACCGUAUUUGGCGGUCUGUAGGCCACGGGGCAACGAAGGAGCAGGGGCCCUGUAAUUGUUAUCCAAAUAAAAGAAACUUUUUUUCCGGUCAAGUCUUUCAAUAUUCGAUAAAAGUAUUUCUAUUGUGGGGGCACUUCUCUCAUGGGUACCAUAAGCCAGUAACUUGCCCUUUGCCAUAUCCAACCCCUUUGAUUAUUAAGCUAUAGGCCUACAUCAACACUUGUUUUAAAUGAUGCCAAUACUCUUUUUGUUUGACAAAACUGGGCGCCGUGGUAUAUAAAGAACAAACACGGACCUUAUGAUAUUUAUAUUGUGAGAAUAUAGAUCCAGGUUUAAGUCAUGUGACACGUUCUCCUACCUAAAGAAAAGAAAUUAUAAGAGAAAGGAAGCAGGCUUAUAAUUUAUGUUUGCUUCUUGUCCAGAAUCAUUCUAGUUUUUUAUAGAUUAGGCCUAUACAUAUUCAACGAAUCUAGUCAUUUUAUAGCAAUAAUUUGCAGUGUCAUUCAAUAUGUAUUAUAUAUACCGUCCUUUUAUCAUCUCUCUAUUAUAUAUAUAUAUAUAUAUAUAUAUAUAUAUAUAUAUAUAUAUAUAUAUAUAUAUAUAUAUAUAUAUAUAUAUAUAUAUAUAUAUAUAUAUAUAUAUAUAUAUAUAUAUGUAUUUAUUUUUCGGAAAUGUGUGUGUGUUUAAAAUGUAUUGUUCAAGUCACUAUUCUGAACAAGACUUGAGAUCUCUGAAUUUGGUGAAGUAGAAAAAUAAGAACAUAGUGUAGUACUAGGCUUACUAUCUACCAUGACCUGUAGGGAGCUUACUGUGAUCAGAAGUAAUUGAAUAUUGAAGCUUCUUCGGCACAGUUGUCUAUCCUUGUUAAUGAGCUAUUAAAUGCCAGUUCAUGUUAACAGUCGUUAUAUGGAGAUCCUCAACUCGUUCAGGUGACAAACAAAAUUUUACUAUGUGUGUGUGUGUGUGACUGUUUGUAUGUUUGUGUGUAUGGUAGCAAUAGUAUAAUUCUGGAAAGACUAACCAAAGUUGAAGAUUUCACAUAUGUAAUAAAUAAAUUAUUAUUAUUUUUGAAAUAACUGGAUUUCUAGAAUGAAAAUAAAAGGCUGUGCAUUUUA